rnacentral:rRNA from 1 species
AGAGUUUGAUCAUGGCUCAGGACGAACGCUGGCGGCGUGCCUAACACAUGCAAGUCGAACGGGAAUCUUCGGAUUCUAGUGGCGGACGGGUGAGUAACGCGUAAGAAUCUAACUUCAGGACGGGGACAACAGUUGGAAACGACUGCUAAUACCCGAUGUGCCGCAAGGUGAAACCUAAUUGGCCUGGAGAAGAGCUUGCGUCUGAUUAGCUAGUUGGUGGGGUAAAGGCCUACCAAGGCGACGAUCAGUAGCUGGUCUGAGAGGAUGAGCAGCCACACUGGGACUGAGACACGGCCCAGACUCCUACGGGAGGCAGCAGUGGGGAAUUUUCCGCAAUGGGCGAAAGCCUGACGGAGCAACGCCGCGUGAGGGAGGAAGGUCUUUGGAUUGUAAACCUCUUUUCUCAAGGAAGAAGUUCUGACGGUACUUGAGGAAUCAGCCUCGGCUAACUCCGUGCCAGCAGCCGCGGUAAUACGGGGGAGGCAAGCGUUAUCCGGAAUUAUUGGGCGUAAAGCGUCCGCAGGUGGUCAGCCAAGUCUGCCGUCAAAUCAGGUUGCUUAACGACCUAAAGGCGGUGGAAACUGGCAGACUAGAGAGCAGUAGGGGUAGCAGGAAUUCCCAGUGUAGCGGUGAAAUGCGUAGAGAUUGGGAAGAACAUCGGUGGCGAAGGCGUGCUACUGGGCUGUAUCUGACACUCAGGGACGAAAGCUAGGGGAGCGAAAGGGA